rnacentral:lncRNA from 1 species
CUAUUAAAAAAUAAGAUAGGGUUCCAAAAGUAUUUCAAAAGGCAUGAUUACCAAAAUAGAGAAAGGGGUCUUCCCAAGACUUACCAAAGAGGAAAGGGGGACAAGGGCUUUCAAAAGGUAUUUUGACAAAAAGCUCAAAGGAAAGUCAAAACCUUUUUAAAAAUUGAAAAAGGAUUCAAGUCUUAUAUUUUAACUCCCAAGGAUGAUUUCCAGUCUUCGAAUUAAAGAUUGAU